AGUUAUCUCAGUGGCCGAACGCACUCAGUUUGCCUGCUACCUUGGCACAACAUCCAAAAAAGGUAUAAACAUCGCAAGUUGUCAUAUGAGGAGGGUUUUAGUACGUAGGCGCUGUAGAACUUCGGUUCUGAUAGAACAGUGAAUCGUGCAUGCUAUGAACUCUAAUAAGAGAUUAGUAGUAUCUUUCGAAGAUUUCCCUUCCUUAGCGAAU
rfam:Drosophila ficusphila unplaced genomic scaffold scf7180000451659, whole genome shotgun sequence